rnacentral:sRNA from 1 species
UUCCCGAUGGUAACGAUCUUUUGAUGAUUUAUCAGCUGGUACCUGCUAUGUUUUGGGAUUUGCAUAAAUGCUGUUCUUAUUGGUGACAAGUUACACACACUCUUAUCCUGGGAAUAUAAAAUACUAUAUAGUAUGAAAAUGGUGUGAAAACCUGGACUUAAAGAACAGGAAGACUGUGCUUUUGGAGAAAGAAGAGGAGUCAAACUAAGGAGUCAUACAAUAUAAACACAUUGACAAUUUUGACAUCAUAUCAUACAUAAAAGAAAUUGAAAUUAUUGAGUGUGCAUGCAUAUAUGGGUAUAUCAAUUUUAAAAUAAUGUUGUCACUGAACAUAUUAUCAUUAUUUUUCUUUCAGAAAGUAAUUUAUCUUCUUAGUAUAAAUGAAUAAAACAAAUAAGCCAAG